rnacentral:rRNA from 1 species
GAUGAACGCUAGCUACAGGCUUAACACAUGCAAGUCGAGGGGAAACGAUAUUGGAAGCUUGCUUCCGAUAGGCGUCGACCGGCGCACGGAUGAGUAACGCGUAUCCAACCUGCCCGUCACUUGGGGAUAACCUUGCGAAAGUAAGACUAAUACCCAAUGACGUCUCUAGAAGACAUCUGAAGGAGAUUAAAGAUUUAUCGGUGAUGGAUGGGGAUGCGUCUGAUUAGCUUGUUGGCGGGGUAACGGCCCACCAAGGCGACGAUCAGUAGGGGUUCUGAGAGGAAGGUCCCCCANAUUGGAACUGAGACACGGUCCAAACUCCUACGGGAGGCAGCAGUGAGGAAUAUUGGUCAAUGGACGAGAGUCUGAACCAGCCAAGUAGCGUGCAGGAUGACGGCCCUAUGGGUUGUAAACUGCUUUUAUAAGGGAAUAAAGUGGGAGUCGUGACUCUUUUUGCAUGUACCUUAUGAAUAGGACCGGCUAAUUCCGUGCCAGCAGCCG